UUGGAGGGCAAGUCUGGUGCCAGCAGCCGCGGUAAUUCCAGCUCCAAUAGCGUAUAUUAAAGUUGUUGCAGUUAAAAAGCUCGUAGUUGAAUUUCGGGGUUAGUAGGUUGGUCAUGCCUCUGGUAUGUACUGGUCUCACUGAUUCCUCCUUCCUGAUGAGCCGUAAUGCCAUUAAUUUGGUGUUGCGGGGAAUUUGAACUGUUACUUUGAAAAAAUUAGAGUGUUUAAAGCAAGCUAACGCUUGAAUACAUUAGCAUGGAAUAAUGAAAUAGGACGUUCGAUCCUAUUUUGUUGGUUUCUAGGAUUGACGUAAUGAUUAAUAGGGAUAGUUGGGGGCAUUAGUAUUCAAUUGUCAGAGGUGAAAUUCUUGGAUUUAUUGAAGACUAACUACUGCGAAAGCAUUUGCCAAGGAUGUUUUCAUUAAUCAAGGACGAAAGUUAGGGGAUCGAAGACGAUCAGAUACCGUCGUAGUCUUAACCAUAAACUAUGCCGACUAGGGAUCGGAUGAUGUUAAUUUUUUAAUGACUCAUUCGGCGCCUUACGGGAAAC
rnacentral:rRNA from 1 species